rnacentral:rRNA from 1 species
GAUGAACGCUGGCGGCGUGCCUAAUACAUGCAAGUCGAGCGAACAGACGAGGAGCUUGCUCCUCUGACGUUAGCGGCGGACGGGUGAGUAACACGUGGAUAACCUACCUAUAAGACUGGGAUACCUUCGGGAAACCGGAGCUAAUACCGGAUAAUAUAUUGAACCGCAUGGUUCACUAGUGAAAGACGGUUUUGCUGUCACUUAUAGAUGGAUCCGCGCCGCAUUAGCUAGUUGGUAAGGUAACGGCUUACCAAGGCAACGAUGCGUAGCCGACCUGAGAGGGUGAUCGGCCACACGGGAACUGAGACACGGUCCAGACUCCUACGGGAGGCAGCAGUAGGGAAUCUUCCGCAAUGGGCGAAAGCCUGACGGAGCAACGCCGCGUGAGUGAUGAAGGACUUCUGAUCGUAAAGCUCUGUUAGUAGGGAAGAACAAAUGUGUAAGUAACUAUGCACGUCUUGACGGUACCGAAUCAGAAAGCCACGGCUAACUACGUG